AAGGCUGGAACCCUGUCGCAAGUCUUUAUUUGUAUUUAUUCGCCGCUCCCUCUACCUCAUCUUGCACAAUAGACGGCUAUCAACAAAACUAAGAUCCAGACAUUCUGGAACACAAUUUGGAAUUAUGUGCAGCAUUUCCCAAACUGUUUCAAUCUUAAGAUGCCAUUGCCAAUGAGGGAAGAAGAGAAAUACUCUUGUGCGCUUUAGAAGAGGUUCUAAAGAAAAAGUAAAGAAUGAUUCCUCUCAAGAGCUGGGUUCUUUUUCUAUAGCUACAAAGGAUGACCCACCUUUCUAAGGUCACCUUUCUAAGGUUUGUUUGUGCUUUCUAAGACCACCAUGGGUAAUGGUGCUCCUUCAGCUAUUCAAUUACAAAUUUUAGGUAUACAUUAUUUCAUCAAGCUCAUAGACAAACUUCACAACUUCAACACAAAAGGGAUAGAGAGUGACGAGCUAUGCCCAUUGCUGAAAACAGAUUUGGUGGCUCUGUUUUUGUCUUUUGAACCACAAUUAAUUAACAGAUUUGAGCCUAUAUUCCAAUCCAUGAUUCUUAAAAGUUCAUUUUACUUACUGUUUAAAAAAGAAAUUAGUUUUAAGACAAUAUUCUUAGAGAAUUUUCACUGCAUUACUAAUUUGUGUCUGUUUUUAGGGUAAAUAAAUGCAACCUACAAAGAUGAUAUAUGUUACGGUAUAACAGGAAAAAGAGAUUUUAUAUUCUGAUAUAUUUUUGACAGUGGUGGGGGAGAUUCUCAGUUUAAUCAUUGGGACCUCAGGAGUAUAAAAUGAACAAAAAGAGAUUCUAUUGAUUAAUAUUUUUGUAGCUUCCCAAAAGCAAGAAAUAAUAAAUGAAUUGGAUUCUGCUAGGCAUUAAGAGUUAGCCGGCCUGAUAAAAUUUGUAACAGAACAGUGUGUAUACCCUGCACUCUGUACAAACUACUCUGUAUUACUUUAUAUACUUCAUGCCUUUGCUUAUUAUCAAUCCUUGGUCCUUCCUGCCAUCAUGGUACCUUUCUGAAAUAGUCACUUUGGGAAUCUUAUAUUCACCCCUUAUUCUUCCCCUAGAGAAUUAAAGAAAGGAAGAGCUGGAGGAAAAUGUUAUUCCACACAUGAGAAGUUCAUGUAGAAGGGAGUAACUGGCUCUUUUCUGCCUUUAGCUCUGCCCUUAUUCUUUCCAAUUUGUCCUGUCUAUAUCUUUUUUGCACAUAGUGUUGUAAUCCCCCCUUAAAAUGUGAGCUUGAGGAUUUUUUUUUGUUGUUGUUCUUGCCUUUCUUUGUAUCCCUAGUGCUUGGCGUAAAGACUGGAAUAUAUAAGGUGCUUAAUAAAUACAUGUUUAUUACCUCAACCAAACACCCAUUCCCUUAACUGCUCAGUGAGAAAGGAAGAGAGAAAAAAAAUUUGAAAAAACCAACUCCUGACAAUAACAAAAAUGGAAAAGUUUGGAUGGAAAAUUGUUUUAAUUCCAAACAUGAUGUUUGAUUUUAUGCACAUGUUUAUAAUUGAGGGGAGAGAAGGAAGGCAAAAAUUACAUCCAAGUGAAGAUAUUUAGCAACAGCAAUUCAAAUUUGUAUAGCGUUUUCAGUUUUACCAAGUGCUGUCCCCAAAACUAACAUCUUAAAAAGUUGAAUGUGAAAUUAUGAAUAGCCUUAUUUUAUUUUUUUUAAUUUUUUAUUGUAAUUUUAUUGACAGUACAUAUGCAUGGGUAAUUUUUUGCAACAUUAUCCCUUGCACUCACUUUGUUCCGACUUUUCCCUUCCUUCCCUCUAACCCUUCCUUAGAUGGCAAGCAAUCUUAUACAUGUUAAAUAUGUUAUAGUAUAUCCUAGAUACAAUAUAUGUGUGCAGCAGCCCUCUGUAGUGGCCAGAAACUGGAAACUGAGUAGAUGCCCAUCAAUCGGAGAAUGGCUGAAUAAAUUGUGGUAUAUGAAUAUUAUGGAAUAUUCUUGUUCUGUAAGAAAUGACCAAUAGGAUGAUUUCAGAAAGGCCUGGAGAGACUUACAUGAACUGAUGCUGAAUGAAAUGAGCAGGACCAGGAGAUCAUUAUAUACUUCAACAACAAUACAAUAUGAUGAUCAAUUCUGAUGGACAUGGCCAUCUUCAGCAAUGAGAUGAACCAAAUCAGUUCCAGUGGAGCAGUAAUGAACAGAACCAGCUACGUCCAGCGAAAGAACUCUGGGAGAUGACCAAGAACCAUUACGUUGAAUUCUUAAUCCCUAUAUUUUUGCCUGCCUGCAUUUUGGAUUUCCUUCACAGGCUAAUUGUACAAUAUUUCAGAGUGCAAUUCUUUUUGUACGGCAAAAUAACAGUUUGGUCAUGUAUACUUAUUGUGUAUCUAAUUUAUACUUUAAUAUAUUUAACAUCUACUGGUCAUCCUGCCAUCUGGGG
ensembl:lncRNA